AGUAACGCGUGGAUAACCUGCCUCACACUGGGGGAUAACAGUUAGAAAUGACUGCUAAUACCGCAUAAGCGCACAGUACCGCAUGGUACAGUGUGAAAAACUCCGGUGGUGUGAGAUGGAUCCGCGUCUGAUUAGCCAGUUGGCAGGGUAACGGCCCACCAAAGCGACGAUCAGUAGCCGACCUGAGAGGGUGACCGGCCACAUUGGGACUGAGACACGGCCCAA
rnacentral:rRNA from 1 species